GUUAAAAACUAAAUACAGAUGAUUUGGCUGCUCUUGGAGGAGAAAAAAAAGACUACAACAGAGUAAAAAUAUUAACAAGUAAGUUCUUAAACAGAUUCAUUAGCUGAACAGGACUGCGUUGAGCUGACAAAGUCGAUACAAUUCUUAAUUGUUUGUCGAUUUUACAUAAUAAAACUGCAUCGCAGGUUUCACUUAACAGUCACGGUUAUUGUUAGGACACGAGACUAGUGGUUUUUAAAGAGAGUCGGCGCCCUCUGAAAGUUACACUAUAAUGAUGCUUUUUUUUAUAAAUUGCAUUUGAUCAUCCAAAAAUAAUGCAAACAACUUGGUAGAGCAUGCCAGGCGGUUAAAAAUUACUCAGUGAUCACAAACGGUUAAAAGGAGACAAAAAAAAUCACCAACACAAAUAUUAGUCAGGAAAAAAAAACAUAUCAAACUAGCGGUUAUAUAUUUAUAUUAUAUAUAUAUAUAAAAGGUGAACUACAGUACUGUUGUGGAAAGGAUAAAACUGCAUUUCUAUUUAUUGAGUAUUCAAAAAUAAAAUGCUGAUCUGUAGCUACCCCGGAAGAAAUCCUGCUUUGGCUAACUAGCUGCAGCAGUGAGUGAUUUUCUGUUUUUUUAUUUUUUAUUUUAUUUCCCACUGUUUGUAAGGUUUAGUACAAGUUCAUGCCACCUGGGUUAAAAUCUGUCCACUGGGUUGUAACUCUACUAAAAAACAAAAACAAAACAGACAAAAAGCUUUCAUAAAAUGCAUAGACUGCCGUAAAGUAAGGUGCGAUAAAACUGCUCAAAAUAAAAUACUCUUAUGUACAAAAACGCAGUAAAACAUUUCACCAUGUGCCAAUUCACCUAAAGAUCCCUUCUGUAGCUGCUGGUGGAAUAAAACCAACACGGAGGAGAGCACGACUGUUUUUUUUUAAACCCUGAUUCCAGACAGAUAAAGGAAAAGAAAACGUGUGAACUUAUUGUUGGCACCUCUCUGUAAGUUUGCUAUGCCAAUGUUGCCUGAAAAUUAAA